GAGACAUACCAUACAGCUAAAUAUAACUACCAUAGCUAGGUGGUUAGAGAGGAGUCAUACCAUACAGCUAAAUAUAACUACCAUAGCUAGGUGGUUAGAGAGGAGACAUACCAUACAGCUAAAUAUAACUACUAUAGCUAGGUGGUUAGAGAGGAGUCAUAUCAUACAGCUAAAUAUAACUACCAUAGCUAGGUGGUUAGAGAGGAGACAUACCAUACAGCUAAAUAUAACUACCAUAGCUAGGUGGUUAGAGAGGAGUCAUACCAUACAGCUAAAUAUAACUACCAUAGCUAGGUGGUAGGUGGUUAGAGAGGAGUCAUACCAUACAGCUAAAUAUAACUACCAUAGCUAGGUGGUAGGUAGUCAGAGAGGAGACAUACCAUACAGCUAAAUAUAACUACCAUAGCUAGGUGGUUAGAGAGGAGUCAUACCAUACAGCUAAAUAUAACUACCAUAGCUAGGUGGUUAGAGAGGAGACAUACCAUACAGCUAAAUAUAACUACUAUAGCUAGGUGGUUAGAGAGGAGUCAUAUCAUACAGCUAAAUAUAACUACCAUAGCUAGGUGGUUAGAGAGGAGACAUACCAUACAGCUAAAUAUAACUACCAUAGCUAGGUGGUUAGAGAGGAGUCAUACCAUACAGCUAAAUAUAACUACCAUAGCUAGGUGGUUAGAGAGG